rnacentral:rRNA from 1 species
GACGAACGCUGGGCGGCGUGCUUAACACAUGCAAGUCGAACGAAGAGCGAUGGAAGCUUGCUUCUAUCAAUCUUAGUGGCGAACGGGUGAGUAACGCGUAAUCAACCUGCCCUUCAGAGGGGGACAACAGUUGGAAACGACUGCUAAUACCGCAUACGAUUUAAUCUUGGCAUCGAGGAUAGAUGAAAGGUGGCCUCUACAUGUAAGCUAUCACUGAAGGAGGGGAUUGCGUCUGAUUAGCUAGUUGGAGGGGUAACGGCCCACCAAGGCGAUGAUCAGUAGCCGGUCUGAGAGGAUGAACGGCCACAUUGGGACUGAGACACGGCCCAGACUCCUACGGGAGGCAGCAGUGGGGAAUCUUUCCGCAAUGGAACGAAAAGUCUGACGGAGCAAACGCCCGCCGUGAAGUGAAUGACGGGCCCUUC